ensembl:snoRNA
AUCCUUUUGUAGUUUAUAAGCGCGAUGAUUGGGUUUUCACGCUCAUGUGUGAGAAGUGCCUUCCUCAAACCUUGUUAUGAUGUUGGCACAUCACCCAUCUGAUG